GACGAACGCUGGCGGCGUGCCUAAUACAUGCAAGUCGAACGCAGUGGGGACGGGUGAGUAAAACGUGGGUAACCUCCCAUCAGAGGGGAUAACACUUGGAAACAGGUGCUAAACCGAUACUGAUGGAUGGACCCGCGGUGAAUUAGCUAGUUGGUGAGGUAACGGCUCACCAAGGCCACGAUGCAUAGCCGACCUGAGAGGUUGAUCGGCCACACGGUGGCUGAGACACGGCCCAUACUCCUACGGGAGGCAGCAGUAGGGAAUCGUCGGCAAUGGACGAAAGUCUGACCGAGCAACGCCGCGUGUGUGAAGAAGGUUUUCGGAUCGUAAAACUCUGUUGUUAGAGAAGCGGUAUCUAACCAGAAAGCCACGGCUAACUACGUGCCAGCCGCGGCGGUAAUUC
rnacentral:rRNA from 1 species